CACAGUUACAAACCGCCUCCAGAGAGCCUGUUCUACACCAGACCAGUGGAGCCAGACUGCAGCUAGAGCCCAUCAUCAUCCUCAUCUGGUUGUAAGUAGGUAAUCUAGUAUAUUAUUCGUGGCACUAAGCUCUAAUUUACCUCACAUUAAAGAAACACUAUAGUCCCCAGAACCACUUCAGCUUAAUGUAGUGGUUCUGGUGUCUAUAGCCUGUCCCUGCAGGCCUUUUAAUGUAAACACGGCGGCACUGCAGCACUGGCGUUAGUUAACAUGGCAAAUC
rnacentral:lncRNA from 1 species